UGGGGAAUAUUGCACAAUGGGGGAAACCCUGAUGCAGCGACGCCGCGUGAGCGAAGAAGGCCUUCGGGUCGUAAAGCUCUUUUAUGAGGGAAGAUAAUGACGGUACCUCAAGAAAAAGCCCCGGCUAACUACGUGCCAGCAGCCGCGGUAAUACGUAGGGGGCUAGCGUUGUCCGGAGUCACUGGGCGUAAAGGGUUCGCAGGCGGAAUAACAAGUCAGAUGUGAAAGGCAUGGGCUCAACCCAUGUAAGCAUUUGAAACUGUAAUUCUUGAGAAGUGGAGAGGUAAGUGGAAUUCCUAGUGUAGCGGUGAAAUGCGUAGAUAUUAGGAGGAAUACCUGUGGCGAAGGCGACUUACUGGACACAAAUCUGACGCUGAGGAACGAAAGCGUGGGUAGCAAACAGG
rnacentral:rRNA from 1 species